rnacentral:rRNA from 1 species
UGGGGAAUAUUGCACAAUGGGGGAAACCCUGAUGCAGCGACGCCGCGUGAGUGAAGAAGUAUUUCGGUAUGUAAAGCUCUAUCAGCAGGGAAGAAGCAGACGGUACCUGACUAAGAAGCCCCGGCUAACUACGUGCCAGCAGCCGCGGUAAUACGUAGGGGGCAAGCGUUAUCCGGAUUUACUGGGUGUAAAGGGAGCGUAGACGGCUAAGCAAGUCUGAAGUGAAAGCCCGGGGCUUAACCCCGGGACUGCUUUGGAAACUGUUAAGCUAGAGUGCUGGAGAGGUAAGUGGAAUUCCUAGUG